rnacentral:lncRNA from 1 species
GGCCAGAGAAACUGUUCUCAAGAGUGUGAAUUAGGUGGCAGCUACUAUUUUAUGGUAGCUCGCUAUCCACUUUGUAAGAGUCUCCGAGAGCAGAGGGAGCACAUCCCCUGACACCUCGCACAUGGCAGUUGCUUCAUCAGUGCUGGUUGUGCUCCUGAGAACUCAGCAUGGAGAGAGGCCUGGUCCCCGCUCCCCUGCUCCCAAUUGCUCUGUGACUCAUUCUCACGGCUUGCCCUUCAGGUUCUGGUUCUUGAAUUUCUCCUGCUCCCUCCCACUCCCAGGCCUUUGCCAUGUCUCCCCUGUGCCUGGAACACUUUUUGAUGCAGGUCACCUCCAGGACUCUGCCACUUUCAAGUUGAGUGUUCCAGGUAGGUCACUGAACCCCUCUGAGUUUCAGUGUCUUUAUCUGUAAAGAUAAAAACUAGACAUAACCUUUGGCUGACUGGGAGAUUUGGGAUUGGAUAAGACAAGUACUGAGUCCAAGGCCUGGCUCUGAGUCCCUGCCCCAGGGACAGCAGCUCCUGUGAUUUUGGUUCAUCAUGGUAGGUCCCUCCUUCUCUCUCUGUUCUUGGGAACUGCCACCAUCCUUUCUGUUCUUUAACCUGCUUCUCCGCCAAUAAAGGCAGAGUGGAACACUCUCUUCCUGGCUCCUAUUUCCUCGCUGCCUCCAAAGACAAGCCUGUCACCUC